UACGUAGGUGGCAAGCGUUGUUCGGAAUUAUUGGGCGUAAAGGGCGCGUAGGCGGUUUGUUAAGUCCGCUCUGAAAGCCUGGGGCUCAACCCCAGGAGGCGGGUGGAUACUGCGAGGCUCGAGUACGGAAGAGGCGAGUGGAAUUCCCGGUGUAGCGGUGAAAUGCGCAGAUAUCGGGAGGAACACCAAUGGCGAAGGCAGCUCGCUGGGACGUUACUGACGCUGAGACGCGAAAGCGUGGGGAGCAAACAGG
rnacentral:rRNA from 1 species